rnacentral:rRNA from 1 species
AUUGAACGCUGGCGGCAGGCCUAACACAUGCAAGUCGAGCGGAUGAAGGGAGCUUGCUCCUGGAUUCAGCGGCGGACGGGUGAGUAAUGCCUAGGAAUCUGCCUGGUAGUGGGGGAUAACGUCCGGAAACGGGCGCUAAUACCGCAUACGUCCUGAGGGAGAAAGUGGGGGAUCUUCGGACCUCACGCUAUCAGAUGAGCCUAGGUCGGAUUGGCUAGUUGGUGGGGUAAAGGCCUACCAAGGCGACGAUCCGUAACUGGUCUGAGAGGAUGAUCAGUCACACUGGAACUGAGACACGGUCCAGACUCCUACGGGAGGCAGCAGUGGGGAAUAUUGGACAAUGGGCGAAAGCCUGAUCCAGCCAUGCCGCGUGUGUGAAGAAGGUCUUCGGAUUGUAAAGCACUUUAAGUUGGGAGGAAGGGCAGUAAGUUAAUACCUUGCUGUUUUGACGUUACCAACAGAAUAAGCACCGGCCAACUUCGUG